UCAGACGGCCGGGCGGUCGCGGCCCUCCUUCGGGCGGGUCGAGGAAAGUCCGGGCUCCACGACGGCAUGGCGGCGGGUAACGCCCGCCGGGGGCGACCCCAGGGAUAGCGCCACAGAAAGCAAACCGCCCGGCGAAGCCUCGUGCGGAGCAGGGUAAGGGUGAAAGGGUGGGGUAAGAGCCCACCGGGUCGCUGGUGACAGAGGCCGCAUGGCAAGCCCCGCCAGGAGCAAGACCGAAUAGGGAUUCCGCGCCGGCGCCUCUCCUUCGGGAAAGGGGCCGGUAGGGCCGCCGCCGGCCCGAGGGAUCCGGGUAGGUCGCGAGAACCGGUCCGCGAGGGCCGGUCCAGAGGAAUGAUCGCCGCGCUCCGCCCUCGGGCGGGGCGGCACAGAACCCGGCUUACAGGCCGUCUGAUCCC
rnacentral:RNase_P_RNA from 21 species